UUUAACACUGUCCACGCUGCCUGAAAAUACUAAUCGCCUUGGGAAAUGAAAGCUGAAGGGCAUGGCUUGGCUUGCAUAAAGAUAAGACUACUUGUAAAUAAGGGAAAGAGUGGGAAAUGAGUGAUGAAUUUUCACAACUUGUCGGCACCUCAGCUGAUGUAAGCAGACGAUGAGGGGAAGGAAUAAAAGAAGGAAGAUGGAAGGAACAAGAGAAGAAGAAAAGAAAGGAGGGAGUGAGAGGGGAAAUGAAGGAUAAGAAGGAAUGACAAGGAGGAAAGGAAGAAGAAAAAAAAAGGAAAGGAAGAAACGAAAAAAAAAGGAAGGUCAGAGGGUGAAAGAAAGGAAGGAGUGAGAGGGGGAAUGAAGGAUAAGAAGGAAUAACAAGGAGGAAAGGAAAAAGAAAAAAAGGAAAGGAAGGACAGAGAG